GAAGAUGAAACUCCUGAUCGGGACUAAGUCGUAACAAGGUAUYYGUAGGUGAACCUGCAGAAGGAUCA
rnacentral:rRNA from 1 species